rnacentral:tRNA from 2 species
GGAGGGGUGGCCGAGUGGUUGAAGGCGCACGCCUGGAAAGUGUGUAUGCGGGCAACCGUAUCGCGGGUUCGAAUCCCGCCCCCUCCGCCA